AGCCACAGCCAUAUCACUCUGCAGCCCAAGACCGGUUCCUUACUGAGGCGAAGCAGGGCUAAGCCUUGUCAUUAUCUGGAUGGGAGACCACUUGGGAAAACUAGGUUGUGGUUG
rnacentral:rRNA from 1 species